GACGAACGCUGGCGGCGUGCUUAACACAUGCAAGUCGAGCGGAGCGGCGAACGGGUGAGUAACGCGUGAGUAACUGCCCCCCUCUCUGGGAUAACAGUUGGAAACGGCUGCUAAUACUGGAUAGUGGGGGAUGACUCGCGUCCUAUCAGCUUGUUGGUGGGGUAGUGGCCUACCAAGGCGACGACGGGUAGCCGGCCUGAGAGGGCGAUCGGCCACAUUAGGCUGCGAUACGGACCAAAGUCGUACGGGGGGCAGCGGUGGGGAGUAUUUCACAAUGGAGGAAACCCUGGUGCAGCAACGACGCGUGCGGGAUGACGGCAUUCGGGUUGUAAACCGCUUUCAGCCAUGACGCGGUAGUGGCAGAAGAAGCACCGGCUAACUACGUGCCAGCAGCCGCGGGAAUAC
rnacentral:rRNA from 1 species